rnacentral:rRNA from 1 species
UCAGGACGAACGCUGGCGGCGUGCUUCAUACAUGCAAGUCGAACGAGAAGCUGACUUCGGUCAGUGGAAAGUGGGCGGACGGGUGAGUAAUAUGUAGAGAAUCUGCCCUUGAGUGGGGGACAACAGAGGGAAACUUCUGCUAAUACCCCAUAUGAGCUAACUUGAAAUAGUUAUCUUGAAAACUCCGGUGCUCAAGGAUGAGUCUGCAUCUGAUUAGCUAGUUGGCGGUGUAAUGGACCACCAAGGCGACGAUCAGUAGCUGGUUUGAGAGGAUGAUCAGCCACAAUGGGACUGAGACACGGCCCAUACUCCUACGGGAGGCAGCAGUAGGGAAUUUUGCGCAAUGGGCGAAAGCCCUGACGCAGCAACGCCGCGUGAACGAUUAAGCCCUUCGGGGUGUAAAGUUCUGUCAGUAGGGACGAAUUCUGACGGUACCUACAGAGGAAGCACCGGCUAACUCCGUGCCAGCCGCCGC